rnacentral:rRNA from 1 species
GACGAACGCUGGCGGCGCGCUUAACACAUGCAAGUCGAACGAAUAGGGCAUGCUCUUGUGGGGUGCACGUGUCGAGAACGGGUGUAACACGUGUGCGUCCUCUGCCCUUGACUGGGAGAUCACCUCGGGACAGUGGGGAAUAUCCCGGAUAUGAGCUCCUGCUCCUUGAUGGGGCUUGGAAGGUUUCGGCGGUUGGGGAUGGACUCGCGGCUUAUCAGCUUGUUGGUGGGGUAGUGGCUUACCAAGGCUUUGACGGGUAGCCGGCCUGAGAGGGUGACCGGCCACAUUGGGACUGAGAUACGGCCCAGACUCCUACGGGAGGCAGCAGUGGGGAAUAUUGCACAAUGGGCGGAAGCCUGAUGCAGCAACGCCGCGUGCGGGAUGAAGGCCUUCGGGUUGUAAACCGCUUUCAGCAGUGACGAAGCGAGAGUGACGGUAACGGGUAAAGAAGCACCGGCUAACUACGUG